rnacentral:siRNA from 1 species
UUGGGUUUGCUGGUUGCU